rnacentral:rRNA from 1 species
GUGACAGGUGGUGCAUGGUUGUCGUCCGCUCGUGUCGUGAGAUGUUGGGUUAAGUCCCGCAACGAGCGCAACCCUUGUCCUUAGUUGCCACCAUUCAGUUGGGCACUCUAAGGAGACUGCCGGUGACAAACCGGAGGAAGGUGGGGAUGACGUCAAAUCAUCAUGCCCCUUAUGAGUUGGGCUACACACGUGCUACAAUGGACGGUACAAAGGGCAGCGAACCCGCGAGGUGGAGCCAAUCCCAAAAAGCCGUUCUCAGUUCGGAUUGCAGGCUGCAACUCGCCUGCAUGAAGUCGGAAUCGCUAGUAAUCGCAGGUCAGCAUACUGCGGUGAAUACGUUCCCGGGCCUUGUACACACCGA